rnacentral:rRNA from 1 species
GAUCAUGGCUCAGAACGAACGCUGGCGGCAUGCCUAACACAUGCAAGUCGAACGGGAUCCUAGCUUGCUAGGUGAGAGUGGCGGACGGGUGAGUAACACGUGGGAAUCUGCCUUUUGGUUCGGGAUAACCGCGGGAAACUGCGGCUAAUACCGAAUGCCCUCGAGAGAGGAAAGAUUUAUCGCCAGAAGAGGAGCCCGCGUCCGAUUAGGUAGUUGGUGGGGUAAAGGCCUACCAAGCCGACGAUCGGUAGCUGGUCUGAGAGGAUGAUCAGCCACACUGGGACUGAGAUACGGCCCAGACUCCUACGGGAGGCAGCAGUGGGGAAUAUUGGACAAUGGGGGCGAACCCUGAUCCAGCAAUGCCGCGUGAGUGAUGAAGGCCUUAGGGUUGUAAAGCUCUUUUGCCAGGGAAGAUGAUGACUGUACCUGGAGAAUAAGCCCCGGCUAACUUCGUG